AUUUUAUUCUUAAUCUAAAAAGAAAAAAAACAAGAGAAAGAAAGGGAAUCAACAAAGAGAGCAGUUAGUCGUCUGGAAAAGUAGAGCUAUCAACGUGUAAAUUUUCUUGAAUAAUAAAGAAGGCAUCCAGGUGUGGUUAACAGUGACCAGGUAGCCGAUACUUGAUUCAUUCCAGCUUCGUUCAGUCCAGUUCAGUCGAGGUGAGCCACCAUUAGAUCAUGGCGGCCUCUUCUUCUUUAGUUGACUUAGUAGUAUUCCGAGCUACGUAUUAUACUUUUAUAUUCAGACUAGUAGUUCCAUGACUUAGACAUUUUAUGGGGUUUAUGGGCAAGACUCAGUAUUUGUAUUUCAGGCGGCCUCUUCUUCUUUAGUUGACUUAGUAGUAUUCCGAGCUACGUCUCAUACUAUUAUAUUCAGACUAGUAGUUCCAUGACUUAGACAUUUUAUGGGAUUUAUGGGCAAGACUUAGUAUUUGUA